GACUACAGGGGUAUCUAAGCCUGUUCGCUCCCCACGCUUUCGUGCCUCAGCGUCAGAUGAGGUCUAGUCAGCUGCCUUCGCAAUUGGUGUUCUAUGGCAUAUCUAAGCAUUUCACCGCUACAUGCCACAUUCCGCCAACCUCAACCUCUCUCAAGUUAUACAGUAUCAAUGGCAGUCCCAUCGUUAAGCGACGGCCUUUCACCACUGACUUAUAUAACCGCCUACGCACCCUUUAAACCCAGUGAUUCCGGAUAACGCUCGCACCCUCCGUAUUACCGCGGCUGCUGGCACGGAGUUAGCCGGUGCUUAUUCUCAUGGUACCGUCAGUCGAGGAUAAAUCCCCUUUUUUCGUCCCAUGCAAAAGCAGUUUACAAGGCAGAGCCCCUUCUUCCUGCACGCGGGAUGGCUGGUUCACCCUUGCGGGCAUUGACCAAUAUUCCUUACUGCAGCCCCCCGUAGG
rnacentral:rRNA from 1 species